CCUACGGGAGGCAGCAGUGGGGAAUCUUCCGCAAUGGGGGCAACUCUGACGCAGCAACGCCGCGUGAUUGAAGAAGGCCUUCGGGUCGUAAAGAUCUUUAAUCGGGGACGAAUUUUGACGGUAGCCGAAGAAUAAGCCCUGGCUAACUACGUGCCAGCAGCCGCGGUAAUCCGUAGGUAGCAAGCGUUGUCCGGAUUUACUGGGCGUAAAGUGUGUGCAGGCGGGCAUGCAAGCCAGAAGUGAAAUCUGGGGGCUUAACCCCCAAACGGCAUUUGGAACUGCGUGUCUUGAGUGAUGGAGAGGCAGGUGGAAUUCCCAGUGUAGCGGUGAAAUGCGUAGAUAUUGGGAGGAACACCAGUGGCGAAGGCGGCCUGCUGGACAUUAACUGACGCUGAGGCGCGAAAGCGUGGGGAGCAAACAGGAUUAGAUACCCGUGUAGUC
rnacentral:rRNA from 1 species